AAAAAACAAAUAAGAGGAGAAGGAGCGAGGCAUGGACUACCUCGAAAAGCUCUGGCAGGUGCAAGUGACCAUCUUACAUCCAGCCUGGGAUGACUUGUGCCAGGCAAUUUCAGAAAGAGGAGAAAAAAGGUUACUUUGGUGGCUGAGCUGUUCAUUGCAAGUUGCCCAUCCGGCUCCAGUAGAGUUAACAGCUUUCUUAAGUCCAAACAAAAUUCGGAAAUUUUGCUCCUGAAGAAAGCAUGUGAGCCUGUCCCAGAAGUGGGCUGCUCUCUUCCUUUUAUGAAUCAGUCUCCAAGAUAUGCUCACAUUCCUGAGAAACAAGCCUGGAAUAACACGGCUGGCUUUUGGGUGCAAUACACUGAUUAUGAGGAAGCAACAGUCUACCGUGUAUGAAUAGCUUUUAUGUUGAAAUAGGUCAGCACUACAGCAUUUGUUGAAAAAUGGCUUUUUAAUGUGCUUUAUGUGCUGUCAGGGCAUAAUGAAUGCAAACCGUAGAACUGGCUUCGUAGAAUGAUAUUUUAUUUUUUUGGUUUAUCGACCAGACGCAAUGAAUCUCAGAUCAAUUAGUUUUGCUUUGAAGUUUGCUCUUGAUCCAGAUCUUCAAUAAAAAGGAAGUUUCCAAA